CAGACCCAAAGCUGACAGACAACAAAGGUUAGUUUUUGUUAUGAAUUAACAUCAUGGUGUGAAGUUCGUUGAACAUUUGUGUAUACUGAAGUGUUUUGGGAUGCAAAAGAUUUGAAGAUCGAUGUUUUUUGGUUUCAGAAACUGACAGCCUGGGAUAUCGAUGGUACCCACGGGUCUGGAGCAGACAGAAUUUACACACUGCACAAACCACAGGUAGAACAGUUAAGACUGGUCAAGCAGGCCCAAGUCAGGGAGAAGUUAAAGAAACUAGCAACAAGGGGUCUACUCAGAUUAUACAAGGAUUGGAGAAAACAAAUCAGGCUGAUCAAACAGAGCAGAAAGAGGGAAAAAUUAAAGAAACUGUCAGUGUAGGUUCUUCCUGGUACUCCAGCAUGUGGAGCAGACAGAAUGUACAAGGCACAGAUAGAACAGUUAAGGCGGAACAAUCAGGCCCAAGUCAGGCAGAUGUUAAAGG